rnacentral:rRNA from 1 species
UACGUAGGGUGCGAGCGUUAAUCGGAAUUACUGGGCGUAAAGGGCGCGUAGGCGGCCUUCUAAGUCAGACGUGAAAUCCCCCGGCUUAACCUGGGAACUGCGUCUGAUACUGGGAGGCUUGAGUAUGGGAGAGGGAUGUAGAAUUCCACGUGUAGCGGUGAAAUGCGUAGAUAUGUGGAGGAAUACCGAUGGCGAAGGCAGCCUCCUGGGCCAACACUGACGCUCAUGCACGAAAGCGUGGGGAGCAAACAGG